rnacentral:rRNA from 1 species
GUGAUAAAAUUUCUCAUUCUUUACCGGCUCUCGUCCGAUCACCAAAGUUAAGCAAUGUCGGUCAGUACUUGGGAGGGUGACCACCUGGGAACAGCGGGUGUAGCUGUAGACU